rnacentral:rRNA from 1 species
UACGGGGGGGGCAAGCGUUGUUCGGAAUUACUGGGCGUAAAGGGCUCGUAGGCGGCCAACUAAGUCAGACGUGAAAUCCCCAGGCUUAACCUGGGAACUGCGUCUGAUACUGGAUGGCUUGAAUUCGGGAGAGGGAUGCAGAAUUCCAGGUGUAGCGGUGAAAUGCGUAGAUAUCUGGAGGAAUACCGGUGGCGAAGGCGGCAUCCUGGACCGACACUGACGCUGAGGAGCGAAAGCCAGGGGAGCAAACGGG